ACCUAGCUCUGAUACCAUGAA
rnacentral:miRNA from 1 species